AGGCUUUUGGAAUGAAUUAUUUGGAACGGUUUAAAAAUUGUUUCAAAUGAGCCUGGUUGUUGGGACGAUAACAUAUUUACCGUCCCAAAUGAAAAAAAAUAAAAUACUGAGAAUAUUUUUAGUCGGAAAAUGAGGUUAUUGGAUAGAUUAUUUUAACGGUUUAAAAAUUGUCUCAAAUGAGUCUGAUUUUUGGGACGACAAUAUAUCUACUGUGCCAAAUGAACCGAAAACUGACCGACUUAACCUAAUGUCAUAUGUCAUCUAUCUACUCUCUCUAUACCGCCGACGCCGCACCAGUAGCAACUAUUUCACACUGGCCAGCUCGGCUUGCCACACUCUUCUCGGCGUGGAGGGAUAUACAUACGAAAAACCAAGGCUAAGAAGGAAUUCAUUUGUAGAAGCAUAGUGAGGAGGAUCGAUUGAAUUUGGAAGCUCUGCUUUUUCGCUCCUUCUAAUCUCUCUCAUGUCAAUCGGAGCUCUCUCUCUCUCUCUCUCUCUCUCUCUCGAUCGUUGAUUGAAAUCGACAACUAUCCGACAAAAUGGUGGCCCAAUGAUUAGAUCCAUCUGUUUAUGUGGAUGCUAGUAGUUUCAGUCCAGGUGGAUGAGCAGAUUUUGGAGAACUGUCUUGGAACAGGAAAGGGUACAUAUUUCCGUGGCUUCGGUUAUGGAAAGAAGGCUCCAUCAGCAUCCUCAAGUCCUAAGAGGAAGACAAAUGCAGAGUGGGAGGCAGAGUUGGAGGCUGAAAGGAGGAAGUCUAAUAGAGCUAAACAAAAAUGUGAUGAAAUGUUGGAAUCCAUAAAUGAUUUGAAGGCAACAGUGGAAGGUAUCUUGGAGAAUCAAAGGGUGUCUUCGCCUCAAUUCAUGUUCACACCAUUCAGCAGAUAUCGUCCUGCACUUGGCAGCCCACAGAGCAGCAACCUCCUUAUGGAUCUUUUGGCAGCCUAUUAAAUAAUCCGCAGCCACCGAAGUUUGGCCCAUUUGGUCAGUACACAUCGCUCAACUCCGACUCACCAACAAAUGAUGAAUGAUUCCAGCUAUGUUAUUGAUAUAUACCUAUUAUGCUAUUAGGUGCUGAUUUGACCAUAAUUGAUAUCACUUUGUUUUUUAAUUAAUGGUUAUUAAAUUUAUUUUUUGUAUUAAUUUUGACUUUA